CUAGUCAUAGGAUUAGGGUUCCUAUUGUAUUUUGGGGGCAUCAUCCUCCAGUACACGAUAUUACCUGUAUGACCAGGACAGAGGAGGAUAAAGGAGGAGCUACUGGUACUAAAACGGGGCAGAUUUGUAUCUGGAACAUAUACAGGAAGAGAAUCAAUGGAGAAUUUGUGUUUUGUCUGAGACUAUUAUUACUAGGAAUGGAGUCUGGAGACAGGAACAGGAUUGUCAGUCUUAGUAAAAAUGGCUGCAGGUGUGGAGUCUAUCAUUGGUAAGCUUCAUUGAGAGGAAGGUCCUGAUUUCAAGUCUCAUUUCACUGGCUCUCUCUCUGACUCAUGGCAGUCCCCAGCCACCCCUUGUUCCCUUAUUGACUCAGUUUAUCCCAGUAUCAGUGCUGGUCCUUCUUCCAAUAUUAUUGUUUCUUUAUUUUUGACACAAUUCAGUUGGUUGAUCUGUGUAUUGUCCAAUGGUGGUAUUAUAGUUCUAUCAGGAACUCAAGCAGCUACCAAACUCUUACUAGCCAAGAGAAAGUUCUCAAGAGUAUUAUUUCUUAAGAGGUCACAAGAGGAGAGUCCCCUCCUGUUGUAUCCUGUGACUAUAUAGCACUGCUUAUGAUACCAAUCACUUGUUAUCUGGUAGUCCUGAUUUCUCUGUUAGAUUGUGGGACCUCUUCAAAGGAAUAUUGUUCCACACUAUUGCAGUUCAUGGUGGGUGGUCAGUAGCAUUGUAGCAUGUCCUCCUCAUAUUAAUCUCACCUAGACUCCUAGUAUCAUGCCUUCAUGCAUGGAACCUUGACAACUCACUGGACAAAGAGUGUGAGGAUACAUUAGGAUUAGUAAGGUCAUCCUGUCCUGUCUCAUUUGGUUUAUUGAGUAAAGGAGGAGGACUGUCACUAG
rnacentral:misc_RNA from 1 species